rnacentral:rRNA from 1 species
AUGCACGCUGGCGGCGUGCCUAAUCCAUGCAGGUCGAGCGCACAGACGAGGAGCUUGCUCCUCUGACGUUAGCGGCGGACGGGUGAGUAACACGUGGAUAACCUACCUAUAAGACUGGGAUAACUUCGGGAAACCGGAGCUAAUACCGGAUAAUAUAUUGAACCGCAUGGUUCAAUAGUGAAAGACGGUUUUGCUGUCACUUAUAGAUGGAUCCGCGCCGCAUUAGCUAGUUGGUAAGGUAACGGCUUACCAAGGCGACGAUGCGUAGCCGACCUGAGAGGGUGAUCGGCCACACUGGAACUGAGACACGGUCCAGACUCCUACGGGAGGCAGCAGUAGGGAAUCUUCCGCAAUGGGCGAAAGCCUGACGGAGCAACGCCGCGUGAGUGAUGAAGGUCUUCGGAUCGUAAAACUCUGUUAUUAGGGAAGAACAAAUGUGUAAGUAACUAUGCACGUCUUGACGGUACCUAAUCAGAAAGCCACGGCUAACUACGUG